GGGAUAACUACUGGAAACGGUAGCUAAUACCGCAUAACGUCGCAAGACCAAAGAGGGGGACCUUCGGGCCUCUUGCCAUCGGAUGUGCCCAGAUGGGAUUAGCUAGUAGGUGGGGUAACGGCUCACCUAGGCGACGAUCAGUAGCCGGCUUGAGAGAGUGUACGGCCACAUUGGGACUGAGACACGGCCCAG
rnacentral:rRNA from 1 species